UUUUUUUCAAACAUUUACUGAACACAAACACCAUUUUUUCCUUUUACACAGCAAGAUUGUUAGUUUCAAAUUAGCUGAGUUAUUAGGACUGUCAAUUGCCAUGAAACUAAAAAUGACUCUACAUGUCAAACUCAAAAUAGAAAAUGUCAUGCAAUAUAUAAAUCACUAAUGGACCCCUGGUGCAGUCAGCAAGUUUACUAUGUUUAUUAAAGUCACAUAAAUGGUUUGACAAAAGUGCACAAUAGAAUGACAUCACUGGUUUGUUAUAAAUCACAGUGAAUUACUAGAAUACAACAAUGAGUUCCUCUACACAGAGGAUUGCAGGAUGGGGUGAAAAGGACAGGGUCUUUUCCAUCGAUUAGGCCAGUCAGAUUUUACUCCCUAACUGUGUACCUCUGAAAAGAUUAGUGAGGAAAGCUGAGUUUCUUUCCUCAUCUUUUCUUCUCUACCAGUUACUAAGCAACAACAAAAAAAAGCCAUGCACAAAUUUUACAACACCUGAUAAAAAAUAGAUACAAAAUCGUGUUCGUUUCAUCACUUGGCAAGCUUGCAUCUUUGCUCCUUCAUUUUUCUGAUUAGGCCAUUCAUCACAUGACUCACCCUGAAUAAAAGCUGUUAAUAAUUUAGCAAUACUUACCCCUGUACACACAUCAAGAUACACUCCCCAUAACCAUCAAGUCAUUGUCUCUUCCCUAUACAUUAACACAAAGGUACACACCACAAACCUAGACUAGAGACCACAUUUACUUUACAGUUUUAAAAAUUAAUAUAUCUCCACUAUCAAUAGUGUAGUAUUUUUUUCAGAUUCCAUAUUUGGGGGAGGGCAUGCUGUACAACCCAGUCCAUCUAAAGAUUUGGGAAAGUCUGCCAGAAAUACCUAAGAAAGCCCUGCAAUGUGAUACACACAUAGGAGUUUUCUACUUUCAAGAGAUGACAUCCAGAAAAAGCUAUGCAUUUUCAGAGCAAGAAUGGACACAUAGCUUAAAACCUCUGGACUAAAAAUGUUUCAUAGCACAAAAGGCAGAGUUUUGUUUUCUUUAACCCCUUUUUAAUGUUAUAGUAUAGUCAGUGAGAAAAACAGAAUAGUCAUGUGUGCAUCAACACAUCUGACUAAUCUGAAAAGGAACAUUUAAGAUUCUUACAGAUAAUCUACCAUAAAAAAACAAGUCCUUUAUACUUUCAUUCAUCUAUUCACUAAUUCAGCCACUGACUGGCUGUUUCUAAACCAGCAAACUGUAAUCAAAGGUCUGGCAACUCACUCCUCACCCCACCCCAUUCCAAAAAAAAAGAAAUGCUUCUGCUUAAACAACCCAAAGUGGUCUUAUUCAUAAAGUAGCUGCCUCAACUAUAGUGGAAACUCUUAACAGGGUGUUGCUCCCUUGAAAUUUCAAUUUUCAAAACAUUUGUCAGAGUUGGUAUUUAGAAAGCUGCUGCCCCCAAAUCAUAUUUUACUUCAAACAAUGCUAUCAUACCUAAGUUCUCACAAUUACCAAUUGUUAGUCCACUAUUAGUAUGAUGAAAUAAAACCCUUCUCAGAAACAAGCAGACCAAAGCUUACAGAUGGUCUGCUUUUGGGUUUGGUUUAUUUAAAAUUCCCACAGCAAAGAACCUUAACAUGAUUGGGCUGUGGCCUACUAGAGCAACCAGGGUGGACUGAAAAAGCUAUGUUGUCAGUGUCAGUUCUAAUGUAAAAACGUUCCCCCUUCUUUAUCAAUUGAGGAGAUGGGUUUGCUGCCCAUUCCUUGAGUUAAAUAGUUAACUUAAACUCAAUAGCUCAAUUUUGCCAGCUCUAUCAAGUGCAUAAAACCCACUUAAGCUUCUCAUGAUUUGCGAAUGAAAACAUCCACCUGGGCCUCCCUAGCUCAUCCAGAUUUAUAUAACUAUUACUGAACAGGACAGAGAAGUUUUGGUUGAAUCUGUAAUACCAUCAAUGAAGAGAUACAAUUCAAAGCAUACGUAUACCAAUAGUAAACAUCAAAUGACCAAAGUGGCUGCAAAAUGGAGACAGCCU
rnacentral:lncRNA from 1 species